rnacentral:rRNA from 1 species
GACGAACGCUGGCGGCGUGCCUAAUACAUGCAAGUAGGACGCAGUUGCGAACGGGUGAGUAACGCGUAGGUAACUAACUAAUAGAGGGGGAUAACUAUUGGAAACGCUAGCUAAUACCGCAUACUAGUAGAUGGACCUGCGUUGUAUUAGCUAGUAGGUAGGGUAAUGGCCUACCUAGGCAACGAUACAUAGCCGACCUGGAGGGGUGAUCGGGCACCAUGGGACUGUGACACGGCCCAAACUCCUACGGGAGGCAGCAGUUGGGAAUCUUCGGCAAUUGGGGGAAACCUGAACGAGCAACGCCGCGUGAGUGAAGAAGGUUUUCGGGUCGUAAAGCCCUGUUGUUAAGGAAGCGGUACUUAACCAGAAAGGGACGGCUAACUACGUGCCAGCAGCCGCGGUAAUAC